rnacentral:rRNA from 1 species
AUUGAACGCUGGCGGCAGGCCUAACACAUGCAAGUCGAGCGGAGCGGCGGACGGGUGAGUAAUGCCUAGGAAUCUGCCUGGUAGCGGGGGCUAACGUACGGAAACGGGCGCUAAUACCGCAUAAUAUUAGAUGAGCCUAGGUCGGAUUAGCUAGUUGGUGGGGUAAAGGCCUACCAUGGCGACGAUCCGUAACCGGUCUGAGAGGCUGAUCAGUCACACUGGAACUGAGACACGGUCCAGACUCCUACGGGAGGCAGCAGUAGGGAAUCUUGGACAAUGGGCGAAAGCCUGAUCCAGCCAUGCCGCGUGUGUGAUGAAGGUCUUCGGAUUGUAAAGCACUUUGAGUAGGGAAGCGUUACCGACAGAAUAAGCACCGGCUAACUACGUGCCAGCAGCCGCGGUAAUUC